UAAUACGCUACUCGUUUCGUUCAUAUAAAAGCAUAAACUAAUUACUAGCAUCUCUCUCAUGAUAAACUAAAUCAGUAUAUAUAUAUAUAUAUAUAUGAGUCCGGCUACUACACUAUCGAUAGCACCAAGUCCUUGGUACUAUUAAGUUUUCUACCAUUAGAUCUACCUUUUGAUCAUUUCCACCCGUUAGAUUAUACUAUUAAACCAACCACCCACUCAAUCCGAGGGGACCACUAUCAUCCUAACCACACAUCCUUUCAUCCAACGGUCGAAAACUCAAUAGUACCAAAGGCUUGGUACUAUAAAUAGUAUAGUAGCAUAAUUCUAUAUAUAUAUAUAUAUAUAUAUAUAUAUAUAUAUAUAUAUACGGAAAUAAAUAUGGUAUUUUUUUCAACGUACUUUCUCACCGCACAUAACGCAAUUUUCCUGCAAUCCCAAACGAAGCCUAUAUUAUUUAACCAAUCACCCACCCAAUCCUAAGACUAUAUUAUCAUCCUAACGCACAUCGCUUCAUCUAAGGGCCGAAGACCUAAUAGCACCAAUAACUUGUGUUAUUAAUAGUGUUCUAGCCUAAUUCAUAUUAUUAGUAAAUAAUUUAUUUUAAUAUUUAAAUAGGUUGUCGUGGACAGCGAGUACUGUACACAAAUGGUUCGGGCCUCAUAUCACAGGCUUAUGACAGGUAGGGCCUCACAUCUCACUAUCCAUACUUAGUUGCUCUCUUUUUCCAUUGUGUAAUAAUAGAAGUUCUUAUCGUUCUUAGAGCAAGUGGUAAAAGAUUUGGCGGUUGAUCGUCGAGAUCUCAAGUUCGAAUUCUAAUUGAUUCACAUUUUCAACUGAGUUUAUUUUUAAAUAAAAUAAACGAAGCGGAUAGCGUGCUAUUUAUUUUUCAAAAAAAAUAAUAAUAAUAGAAGUUCUUAAUUACUACUCAACAUAUUCUUUACAAAUGAGGCAUAUGAUCGAGUAUAUGACUAUACAUAAAUGAACUCUCUCUCUCUCUCUCUCUCACUCUCUUUAUUGUUCUCAAAUUCCAGGACAGAAACAGUCCACACCAUCUCAACAGUUUCUUGGACCAAUUAAACAUAAACAAUACAUUUACUUCAUUAAAAAAAAUGAUUCAAAAAGAUCUUCUGAAUCUCCAAUCAAAUACUAUAUUCACUAAACAUGCAUGUACAACGCAGAGGAUGAUACAGAGGGAACAAGGUGCACAUUUGCAUAUGACGAGCUAAGCAAAUACAGAUGAAUCUGAUCUGAAACUUAUACGUGCAUGCCACCCAUGAUGGGAGCAUCUACCAAGUAAUACGCGCAAUUUCACGUGCUUUCCUCUUCAUCAUUUACAACCUACAUCUAUUUUUUUAAUUGUUUGUUUUAGCGUAGUUGUUUAAGAAUUUAAUAGUUGAUACUAAGAUCCUAAAUUUAAAUUUAUUCGUAGUAGAGUUAAUUUUUCAAAAAUGAACAUAACGGAUAGCAUUCUAUCUUCUUUUUUUUUUUAAAAAAAAAAACUUUAAAUACCACCAUGUGGUUUUGCAUUUUUUUAUUUUAAUACCUUAUAGUUUAAAGUGUAUCAAUUUAGUACCAUGUGGUUUCGUACUUUCUCAUUUUCGUACCCUAUGGUUUAAAGUGCACUAAUUUUGUAUCCUGUGGUUUUAUUUUUUUUUCUUUUCGUCGGCUUCUCUGUUAAUAUUUCGUUAAAUUAUAUACAAAAAACUUCAGAUACUCUAUCUAGGUUUAUCAAAUAUUUACUUUAGUACUCUUUAGUUUUAACUUUGUCACUGAUUUUUUUUUUCUCCGUUAAUAUUUUGUUAAAUUAUAUAGAAAAAACUUCAAAUAUCUUAUCUAGAUUUAUCGAAUAUUCAUUUUAGUACCCUUUAAUUUUAACUUUGUCAUUUAACGAAAAAAAAAGUAAAAUAGAUAAUAAAAAAAUAAAAUAAAAUCACAGGGUACUAACUUGAUACACUUUAAAUCACAGGAUAUUCAAGUGAGAAAGUGCGAAAUCACGGGGGUUAACUUAAUACAUUUUAAAUCACAGGAUAUUCAAGUGAGAAAGUGUGAAAUCACAGGAAAAAUCUUUGAAGUUUACCCUAAAAAAACAUAUGUUUUCUUGGGAGAACUCUUCGCGACAAAACAAGUUAUUAUAAUCGAAUUACCCAUCAAUGUAGUUCACUUUUCUUGAUGAUUAAGUUGGUUAAGCACAAGAGAACUAAGCCAAUUUUAUUGAUUUCCAUCAUGGAACAUGUGGUGGAGAGCUAUACUUUUUACUCCAUUUUUUGUUGGUUAAACUUGGGAAUAAUAAAUAGUAUUUGUAAAGCCAAAUAAUUUUGACGAAAAAUUGAAGAUUUAACAUCUUAAGCUUUAAAAACCAUAAAAUUAGUAGAUUAUUUAUGAAACCUAUUGCUUAAGAAUUUACAUGUUUUCACUUGUUAAAAUCAAUUGUGACGGCCAAACCUGCAAUUGAAUUGAAAGGUUGAGAAGUUGGAUGUUGCAUUUGCAGCUAGAGUACAACAAUAUAUUAUUCUUGGUUGAUUAUAAAUUUGGCCCUUGAAAUUUGAAGACUUUUUUUAUUUUCAUUCAAUAGAUUUAAUUGUGACAAUUUAGUUGUUGAAUUUUUUAUGUGAAAUAAUCAUGUUACUAAAGCCGUGGCUUUUUUUUUUUUUUUAUUGAUCUUAAUUAUCAAUAAGCUCGCCCUGAUGGAUCAAUCCAUAGGAAAUCAAGCUUUCACAUAGUCCGAAAUGUUAUCUGAAUCCGAAUUCAAAUGGAGCGAAUUUAUUCGAUACUAAACGGGCAUGGUUUUGAAUAUAGAUAUCAAAAAUAAAAACCCGACGGAUAUGAAUUUUGACUGUAUCCGAUCCGAACCCGAAACUUAAUUUAUUUUACAUUAUAUAUAAUACGUAUAUAAAAUUUGAUGUUAUAUUUGAAUUUGUAUUUUAAAAAUUUAGAUUUAAUGUAAUAUAUUUUAAAAUAUUGUUUUGAAUAUAGAUAUUAGAAACAAAAAUCCAAUGGAUAUGGAUUUUGACUGUAUCCGACCUGAACCCGAAUCCGAAUCCUAAUUUAUUUUACAUUAUAUAUAAUAUGUACAUAAAAUUUGAUGUUAUAUUUGAAUUUGUAUUUUAAAAAAAAUAGAUUUAAUGUAAUAUAUUUUAAAAUAUUGAAAAAAAUAAUUAUUUCGAAUUUGAAUUUUCGGGUUCGAAUUCUGGAUUUUCGGUCGGGUUCAACUUUGGAUAUGGAUUUUUAAAAUCUGUCGAGUUCGGAUUUGAAUUCGGAUUCGAAUUUCGAGUUUGGAGUCAGAUUCAGGUUCGGAUUUUUAAAAAUCUGCCCCGAAUCUGACCCGUUGACAUUCCUAGCUAAGAAGAACCUAGAACCAAUCCUACUCUCGACAAGUAUAAAAAGAAAUAUUCGAAUAUCGUGUUUUGAGAAAGUUUGGUUAACGCGGGAGGAUUUUAAGUAGAACGUCCUGGGCUGAUGGAACGAUGUGUUAGACAAAGACUUGAGCAUCCUAACAUUCACGACGAAAUUGUGCCGCUGUUAUAAGCGUAUUAAGGUAUUGUUUGAUUCAAAAAUAAAAUUUAUUUAUUUAUUUAUUUAUUUUUAGAAUAAAUAUAAUUUUUGAAAUAAGUAGGAAUCAGAUUAUUUUUACGUUUGAAUGAUAAUCGAAAUAUUGUGAGGGAUAAGAAAACACUGUGCCUGAGUAUUAUCUCACUCUCCCAAUCAACUUUUUGAAAGGGAGGCUUCUUUUGGACUCUUUAGUCAUUGCAAGUGAGUUAGUAAUUAAGGUGGAAAACUAAGAUGAAGGUUAAAGGUAUUGGACUAAGAGAAGAUUUUGAGAAGACGUAAAAUAAGGUAAACUGAUAUUUUUUUUUAUACGAUUUUAAGAAGGCUUAUUAUGUCGUUUUAUUUUUAGUUUACUAAAAGGGUUCAUUGUUAAAUAAGGUAUCAUCAUUUGUUUUUUUUAAAAAAUUUUACUUUACUGUUCUAUUUGACCACAGGUUUUUAUUAUUGACAUAAAAUAAAGGCUAAAUUAUAUAAAAUCAUCAUGUCAAAAUCUGAUUUUUUUUACUUUUUCCUUCUGUCAUUUAAAAACCUACAGUUUACCUUCUUGUAAAAUAAAAAAUAUUCACAGGGGGAAUACGAUGUGAACUGUGAUGACAAAAUGAUCAUUUUGUUUCUCACCAUUUUCGUCUCCUCCUUCAUCUUGUUCAUCCGUUACCUCAAUCGGUUGUGAUUCCUCUUUAUUUUUUUCUCCACCUGCUCCUUUUUCUCCUCCUGCACCCUCGUCACCCAUUCAUUUCGGCGACAGUAGAGAAAAAAUUGAGGUAGGCAUGAAUGGAGAGGCGGACAAGGCCAACGAGGGCGAAGACGAGGCGGCAGAGGAGGGCAAGGGGAUAUUUGUGGGCGCGGACAGUGAUGUGAGCGAGGGCGAGGUAGUGGAAGAGAGCGAGGCGGUGAGGCGGAGGAGGGCGAAGCAAGGGCGGAGAGUAUUUUUGGCAUAAAAAAUAUUUUAUAAUAGAACCUAAAGGAUUACUAACGGUAGAGGAUGAAGUGAACAUUUUUUAUUUUACAAGGGGGCAAAGUGUAGGCUUAUAACUAAUGGGGGGGAAGUGAAAAAUCGAAUUUUGACAGACGAAUUUUCUGUAAUUUAGCCUAAAAUAAAAUCACAAGACAGCUAAGUGCAACUUGUUGAAUCACAAGAUUACAAAUUAAAAAUGCGCUAAACCGCAUGGGACAAAUCAAAGUUUAUCCUUUUUCACAACCUGCUACAUAACUUGAAUCAAACGCGCCCUAAGGGUAAACUUUAAAUACCAUCAAUGUGGUUUCGUACUUUCUCAUUUUAGUACCCUGUGGUUUAAAGUGUAUCAAGUUAGUAUCCUAUGAUUUUAUUUUUCUUUUUUCGUUAGCUUCUCCGUUAAUAUUGCGUUAAAUUAUCUAUAAAAAACAUCAGAUACUCCAUUUAGAUUUAUUGAAUUUUCACUUUAGUACCAUAUAAUUUUAACUUUGUCAUUGAUUUAACGAAAAAAAAAUCACAAAUUACUAAAUUGAUAUAUUUUAAAUCGCAAAAUAUUAAAGUAAAAAAUACGAAACAGCAUGAGUGAUAUUUUAAAUUUUCCUAAUUAUUAGUGAGGCUGAUUUCACUUCAUCUGACUUGUUUUUUGUGGAAAAACUUCAAAUACCACCUCUGAGGUUUUACACUUUCUCACUUUAGUAUCAUAUGGUUUAAAGUGUAUCAAUUUAGUGUUCCGUGAUUUUAUUUUUAUCUUUUUAUUAUCAAUUUUAUUAUUUUUUUAUUAAAUCAGUGAUGACAAAGUUUUUUUUUUCAAGUUAAACUAAAAAGUACUAAAAUAAAUAUUCGACAAAUCUAGGUGGAGUAUCUGAAGUAUUUUAUAUAUAAUUUAACGAAAUAUUAAUGGAGAAGCUGACGACAAGAAAAAAAAUAGAACAACAGAACACUAACUUGAUACACUUUAGACCAUAACGUACGAAGCUACUGGGGUGGUACCUGAAGUUUAUCCUUUCCUUUAAAUUUUUUUUUUUUUUUUAUAUUAGAAUCUUUGUCACCAUCGUGUAGCUUCCGAGUGAGUGGGACGUUCUUGGCAUUUUGCGCACGUGUUUAUGCAUGCGUCGCCACAACCGCGUUGACAUGUUGCAGUUCCCAUCGUUCACGCAAUUGUGAAAAGAACCAUUAAAAAUAGGAAAAGUUUACUCAAUACCCUUCUAAAAGUACAUAUUUUCACUAACACGUCUAUAAAAAUUAAAAUAUUACAAUGCCCCUCAAAUUUUGAAAAACUUUCAAAAUUAUCUUCAUAUGUAACUUUUUAUCCAGAUUGAAGUAAACGGUGAGCAAAUUCCUAUUAUACCCUUUGUUUUACUUUUCAUCGAUGCCCUCUGAAAUUUUAACUCAUAAAUACACUUUAAUUAUACUAAUUAGUGAAUUAAUUAUAUUAUUUGAAAAACAUUAAAUAAAAUGCCGUAUAAAUUUUUUAAUUAGAUGCUAAUAAACAAUCUCAUAAAAAUUGUUGACAAAUCUUUUAAAAUCAAUUAUAAAAAACAAUUUCAUAAUAAUUACGGAAUGUUAUGAAAAAAUUACGAAAUAAUUUUAAAUACAGUUAUCUUUUCUUAUAUAGAAAAUAUAUGGAGCUCUCUCAACAGUAAGCUAUUUUGAAAUAGCUCAUCAAUUUUAUUAAAUAUUUUAUCACCGUCUUCUCUCUUAUUAGCUUUGAUUUAUUUUAAGUAUUAAAAUGAGAACUUCGUAAAUUUAAACAAUAAUAGUAUCAAUUUAUGAUGGCUUUGAUUGGUUGUUUUAUGAAGAAUUUAAAGCUUAUAGCAAAUGAACCACUUAAUUUGACAAAUUUGCCAAUUAUAUGGACCAAAGGAAAGUUUAAAAAGUUUACGUGCCUGUUUCAAAACAAUCUACAUUUGAGGGUCUUAUACACAUUAUUGUCAUUAGUUAAUAGGAGAGCAAAUAAUGAGUAUUCCACCCAGAGAUUCAAAAUAAGGGGCAAAAUAGGCAAUUUUAUAUUUAAUAUAUUUUAUAUAAUAAAAAAUAAUAUAUUAAAAUUAUAUAAACUUACAAAGGCUAACGACCAGGAUAAAGUUAAAAUAAAGUAGGUAUUCUAAUGUAUUAAAUAUAACUAAAUUUUCAUAUGUAAAACUUUUUUUAUAAAAUUUUAUGGUGAAUUUACUAUUGAUUUGAGACAAUGACAAAAUGCAGCAUGAGAAUCGGUAUAUUUUUAGUUGUGAGAAGCUAAAUUGCUGAGUAACCCCUCCCAAAUGGAUAAAUUUCACCACUAGUCCCCAAAUUUUUAGCCAAGAUUUAUUUUAGUCCCAUGCUAUUUAGUUCGAGAUUAGCGGUUUCCAAACUCUUAAAAGAGUUUUAUUUUACUUAUUAUCUAUAUUUUCUGUUUUUUUGAGAGAUAGGUAGCACGCUAUCCGCUUCGUUUAUUUCAUUUGGAAAUAAACUUAGCUGGAAAUAUGAAUCAACCAGGAUUCGAACUUGGGUCUCGGGUACCAACCACCAAGCCUUUUGCCACUUGCUUUAGGGACGAUCGGUAUUAUCUAUAUUUUCUUUUAGAGGGUGAAUUAUUGGCUACACGCCUACCACUACAAAAAAAAUGGUAUAUAGCUACACUUUUAAAUAUAGGUACAUGUCAAAAAAGUACUGAUAGCUAAAAUUACCGACACUUUUAAAAAGUGUUGCUAUAUGUGGGGUCGCUAGGUAUAUAGUGACAGUUAAAGAGUGUCGCUAUAACCUAAAAGAGUGCUGGUAAUUUACCAACACUUAUUUAAGCAUUUAGCAACUGCUGAAACCCUAUCUCGUUGGCUGCGGUGGCGGAGGAGGACGACAGGAAAGGCUCUUCGUCUAGAAUUUCAGUGGAUUGGGUGAAGAGAGAAGAAAAGAUGGUAAUUGAUUUUUUUUUUUUUUCUGUUUGUAAUCGGGCCAAAUAGACUGGGUGUGGUGGGUUGAGUAGAGUAAUCUUUUAUUUUUGGUUGGAUUGAGCUUUAUAUUUAGGCAUUAGUAGAUGUUUUUUUAAGUUUUAGGAUAAAUAAGACACUUACUCAAAAAUGUCCCAAACAUAUAUCCCUAUAACCUAACACACAGUGUAUUUGCACAUCUAUGUACAAUAAAUUUACUGGCUCUUUUAAUUUCCUAUAUAAAGUUUCAAUGCCACCACCCAUUUCAUUAAAAUCCUUUCUUUAUAGAUAAAAAUUGAACUGUUGGAAUUGAAAGUUCAAGAUAGAUAAAAGAUAAAUUAUAAAUAUAUAUAUAAUGUGUCAGAAGAAGUUUUAAUGUAAUGAACUUGUUUUUGUCCAACAAAUAGGGUUCGAAAUGUUGGUUCAAUAAAAUAUAAAGUUGUCAGAUUAGAUCUUUGGUUCAUAUCUGAUAUAGUUGGUUAAAAAUUUGAUGGUUGAUAUCUAAAGUUCCAAAUUCGAAACUUAGUUACUNUUGUCAGAUUAGAUCUUUGGUUCAUAUCUGAUAUAGUUGGUUAAAAAUUUGAUGGUUGAUAUCUAAAGUUCCAAAUUCGAAACUUAGUUACUUUUUAUUUCUAACUAAAAUUAUUUUUAAAAAUAUAAAUAAAGCAGAUAUGAACAAAAGAUCUAAUCUAACAAAUUCUUAAAAAAAAAAAAAGAAGACACCCAUUAGGCGAGGGAUGGGGGAAAAUAAUUUUUUUAAUAGUUUUUAUAAAAUUAAGUGAAUAUAUAGUGUUUUCAAGGCACAUAUUUUAAUUUUUUGUAGGUAUUUAUAUUGGUUUAGAUUGAAGCAAACAAGACUUUUGUGUGUUGGACUUUUGGGUGCAUAUUGAUGUAACCAGCCUAACUAUGGAAGUGGGUCUAUGUCUUUAAUUAUUAUUAUGCAUACAUUAAAGGAAGCUUUUAUAUUUAAAAGUUCCCAAGACAAUUGAAUAUGCAUGGUUGAAACUUUUGGUACACUAUAUACUACUUUUUGACAAAGUCAGAAAAAAGUAAAAUAAGAUUAGACUUAAUUCAAUGAAUUGGGAUUAAUACUAGAAAAUCAUCAUUUAUUUUAAAAAGUUUAACUAUUAGAGAACUACGAUGUUUUGUUAAAUAAUGUAAAACAAUCGAUAAUUUCUGAAAGGUUAAGCUAUCAUAGGGCGUUAUAUUCAGCAAAAUGUGAAAAAGAAGAAGAAGAAGAAAAUUGGCACCUUUAGGAGCAUUUCUUAGGUUUUUACCUGGUACAUGGGCAUUCUAAUUAACUGAGGUUGGCUAAUAAUCCCUUAUACUUUUAACUGACUUAAAUAAAAUAGUUAGCUAUGUGCUAUGGAAAGUGUUUCUGUAACGCUUACACCAAAUAGAAAUUAUAAAUCACAAAACUUAGCCAUGUGUUCUGUUUUUUGUUUGAAAGAAAUAUAGUAAGCUAACUCAGUUACAAAAGCAAUUUGGCUUUCAACUUAAAAUUUUAAGUACCAAUCAUUAAAUCUUAGUUAACUGUGCUAGCUAUGGUUGGUAACUUAAUUAGCCAUGUAUCACUCAUAGACUAGAUAUGUUUACUAUCAUUGGUGCUUUAACCUAUUAAGAUGCUAUUAUUUUUUGGCUAACCAAUCAUCUAACUAGUCGUUGUGUGACUAACAUUUACUUAUUCUAACCGACCGUCCCUAGCGCAAUUAGCAAAAAGGCUUGAUGGUUGGUACCCGAGACCCAAGUUCGAAUCCUAGUUGCUUCAUAUUUCCAGCUAAGUUUAUUUCUAAAUGAAAUAAACGAAGCGGGUAGCAUGCUACCCUUCUCUCAAAAAAAAAAACAUUUACUUAUUCUACAUAGAGUUUUGUUAUUGUACAAAGAAUUUUCCUGGAAGCAAUAAUCUAAAUUGGUUUUUCUUGAUCAUGAUAAUAAAUAUUAAUUGUAUGACCAUAGAAACCCGAAAAAAAAAAAAAUUUGAUGGACACGGUCCUUAAUGGUAGAUAGGCUGAUAUGUUCGUUCACACAGUUUUAAAAUUCAUUCCGUUUACUAGGCCAUAGAUAAAAUAAUAUCAUGUUAAGAGUUGUUCUUACGAACAUUUUGUUCCCAAGAACUGCAUUAUUUGUCCAAUAUCAGAACUCCCAAAUAAGUAGGGAUUCAAAUGAAUCUGGAGUCUCUCGCCUCAGUCUGAUCCAAAUAGAGCAGUAAGUGAUGGUCAAAAAUAACAAAAAAAUAAUUCAUUCCAAAUCUAACUUGAUCCGUAAAAAAAAAGAAAAAGAUGGAGCGGGUGAUGGGGGACAUUUUUCUUUUUUUGAUCGGUCAUAAUCUGCUAAAACCCCGCUCCUGUCUCGCCCCACCACGCCUCGAAUGGAGCCAUAAGUGGGAACAAAAAUAAUAAUAAAAGUUAGUCCAUUCGGAAUUCAUCCCAAUCUAUUAAAAAAAAAGAAGAUGGUAGGUAGAGGACCCUCUCCCCGAAUUUGCCUAGUUUGCAUCUCUAGUCCCAAAAGAUUUGGAUGGAUAGUUUGAGAUUUUGAGGCUAGUAUUGAGAUAUGUAAAAUAUAUGAAGCAUUUAUGACGCCAAUCAGUGGAUUAAAUUGUACACGCAUGCCUUUCACCUACAUUACGUUUACUUAGCCCAAUGCACCAGCAACGAAGCUAUCUUUUUGGAAAAAAAAAGAUUAUUAUAAACAAC
rnacentral:lncRNA from 1 species